rnacentral:rRNA from 1 species
GGGUGGCCAUGGGGGCGGCAGCCUGAUGCAGCGACGCCGCGUGAGUGAUGAAGGCCUUCGGGUUGUAAAGCUCUUUCCUUGGGGAAGAAGGUCUUCGGACUUGACGGUAGAAGAAUGACAGCUCCGUUUCAUUACCUGCCGGCAUACGCGAUGUUAGGUACGGGGGUAGCGUUGUUGGGAGUUACGGGGCGUGAAGGGUGGGUGCGUGUCCCGUGUGAUGAGAUGUGACUCCCCUCAACUUAAGUGCUGAAUUCUAUUUGAGACUGCUGGACUUGAAUGUGGGAGAAUUUAUUGUAUUUCAGGGUGAUGCAAUGAAAUGCGUAAAAAUUGAGAGGAACAAUAUUGGUAAAUGCGAUUGUCUUGACGAUAACUUACGGAAAACAUAGGGUAGCUAAAGGAG